GAUGAACGCUGGCGGCGUGCCUAAUACAUGCAAGUCGAGCGAACAGACGAGGAGCUUGCUCCUCUGACGUUAGCGGCGGACGGGUGAGUAACACGUGGAUAACCUACCUAUAAGACUGGGAUAACUUCGGGAAACCGGAGCUAAUACCGGAUAACAUGUUGAACCGCAUGGUUCAACAGUGAAAGACGGUCUUGCUGUCACUUAUAGAUGGAUCCGCGCCGCAUUAGCUAGUUGGUAAGGUAACGGCUUACCAAGGCAACGAUGCGUAGCCGACCUGGGAGGGUGAUCGGCCACACUGGAACUGAGACACGGUCCAGACUCCUACGGGAGGCAGCAGUAGGGAAUCUUCCGCAAUGGGCGAAAGCCUGACGGAGCAACGCCGCGUGAGUGAAGAAGGUCUUCGGAUCGUAAAACUCUGUUAUUAGGGAAGAACAAAUGUGUAAGUAACUAUGCACGUCUUGACGGUACCUAAUCAGAAAGCCACGGCUAACUACGUG
rnacentral:rRNA from 1 species